AGUGAACGCUGGCGGUAGGCCUAACACAUGCAAGUCGAACGGCAGCACAGUAAUAGCUUGCUCUUCCGGGUUGCGAGUGGCGUACGGGUGAGGUAUACAUCCUACUCUACUUUUUCGUGGAGGUUCACGUAGGUAAACUUACUCUCAUACCGCAUCCCCCCUUCCGUUGAAAGCAGUGGAUCUUCUGACCUUUCGCGAUUGAAUUCGCCGCUGUCGGAUUAGCUAGUUGGCGGGGUAAAGGCCCACCCAGGCGACGAUCCGUAGCUGGUCUGAGAGGAGGGUAAGCGACACUGGAACUGAGACACGGUCAAGACGACUAAGGGAGGCAGCAGUGGGGAAUAGUGGACAAUGGGGGCAAGCAUGAUCCAGCCAUACCGAGUGGGAGAAGAAGGCGUUCGGGUUGUAAAGACCGUUUGUGGGGAAAGAAAAGCAGCAGGUUAAGACCAAGCUGUUGUGACGGUAACGAAAGAAGAAGCACCGGCUAACUACGUG
rnacentral:rRNA from 1 species